rnacentral:tRNA from 1 species
UCCCUGGUGGCUCAGAUGGUAAAGCGUCUGCCUACAAUGCAGGAGACAUGGGUUCGAUCCCUGGGCCGGGAA